GGUUAAGCGACUAAGCGUACACGGUGGAUGCCCUGGCAGUCAGAGGCGAUGAAGGGCGUGCUAAUCUGCGAUAAGCGCCGGUAAGGUGAUAUGAACCGUUAUAACCGGCGAUACCCGAAUGGGGAAACCCAGUGUGAUUCGUCACACUAUCAUUAACUGAAUCCAUAGGUUAAUGAGGCGAACCGGGGGAACUGAAACAUCUAAGUACCCCGAGGAAAAGAAAUCAACCGAGAUUCCCCCAGUAGCGGCGAGCGAACGGGGAGGAGCCCAGAGCCUGAAUCAGCAUGUGUGUUAGUGGAAGCGUCUGGAAAGGCGCGCGAUACAGGGUG
rnacentral:rRNA from 2 species